AGCUAGAAGCGAAACCCAAAGCCUUUGCUUUGUCUUUUCAUGUAACAGCAUGAAAUAGGCUUAUGCUUCCCAGGAGGUGGAGGACGCUAGCGCCAAAUCUAGGACAAGGAUCUCCUCUUCAGGAACUCCUGAGGAUCAAUCACCGAUCCAGGCUUCCUGAUGGACAAGAUUUUGUUUGCAGAGAUCCCAUGGUUACGGAUGUGCUCCCUGAAAAGCAGGUUCUGCAGCGCAUCUUGCAUCACGGCAGCCGGCUCCUGGACAUACAUCAAAGCCUUCCCCUUAUGAGUCGCAGGAGACAUCAAGAUGUGCUGCUUGCUCGGAUCCGCGCAGCACAGCUGUGCCUUUGCAGGGCAGGGUACCACACCUCACACCACCCCGGUGACGUUGGCGGCAUCUCGGGGAAUAGCCCUUGCUCUGAGCAGGAGCCUGCUCAGUGAGCAUUCUCAGGCGGAAAGCAAACCAGGCAGCUUUUCUACCAAAUUACUUCUGAUCUUUGUAGGACUGGUCUGCUGCAGCAUAUUCACAUGAGAUUUAUCAGCUCACCCUUUCUGCCAGCCCUCACUGGGUCUAACACAAUGGUGCAUACAUUGAUUUUUUCCUGGCCUCUAGGCCAGCUGUGUACAAUCAGAAGCACGUGCUUUGGGACAGGCUGAACCCUGGAGCCCAGCUCUUGAGAGAUUAUACAAAAUUGGGAUCUGAAGGUUCACUUGGAGAUCCAGGUGGAGUUAUUUCUAUUGCAACUCAAAGCAAAAUUGCUACCUCUUGAGACCCCCCACCCUUGCCACCUCCUACUUGAAAUACCAGGAUACACCACUGUUACCUAAGGAGACCAUCAGACCCAUCCAACGCUCUCACCCAAACCACAAAGCACGAGAGAAAAGACUCCAAACAUACAGACACCCCACCACACACGCACCAAAGACAUCUUUAGGGUUUACUGAACAGCAUAUCCACUCCAGUACCCCACAAACCCCCAAGAAUUGUGAGGUGGUUCCACAAGUUUGCUGCUGACAGGCUCAACAGUUGAAUGCAAAUAAGAUUCUCCUUCUGCCAGCUGUGAAACUGAGCCGCAUCCAAACAGCCUUGGCUCCAAGGCAGCCACCUAAUGACUCCCAGGCUUAGCUGAACAUCUUUAUCUCUCUAAAUACCAUGAGAUUUGGGAUAGAUUCAGUGGCUUCUCUGGACUACCACCAUGAAUAAAGACGAGACACUCCCUGAAGAUAAAGGUGGAGACCAUCUGCUGUACACUCAGAGGAGUCCAGACCAGCAGAGCAAUCGCAAACGUGUGAACAUCACUUCUUUAAAAUGCUGGCAUCGCGGCACGGCUCACGUGGUUCAACCACACCAGGGCUGCCAAAACACGUCAUGAUAUCGUGUUGGGAGCCACCCCACGUCUGCCUGUCCUCACCCGGCAUCAGCAACGCUGCUCAAGCAUGUAGCGAAGCCCUGGAGGAAACUGCGGUGGCAACGGGGGCACAGCCCAGUGGGACAGGGCAGCCAGGGAAAGAAAGAGAUGGAAAUCAAACCUGGAAGAGGUUUAAGGAAUGGGAAGGAGGACAUGAGCAAUAGGAAGCAGACUUACCUCACCCUUCAGAGCUUGAUCAGACUUGCACUGAGAGCAACACAACUUAUUUCUCCAUUUCUUUAGACGUUAAGUAUCCAGUUGCAUCCAACACUGAGUGACAGCCAGGAGCAGAUGUGAAACCAUAGAUGUACAAGCGUGGAUACGUGGAGCUCCUACAUUUUCUGCAAAACCUUAUUAAUAGUAGAAUCUAGAGCCUCAGCUGUGCUCCAGUAAUUCCCACCAGCCUGGGAGCUGCAAUCUGUACUCAAAGAUUUAGCCCACGUGCCCUGUACUGUCAGGUGCUGCCAUUGACAAUGAUGGAGAAUUUGCCCGCUUUUCAUUGCCAGUAUUCUAUCAUUCACUAUCCCCAACAUUGCUUGGGCCAGGAAAUUCUCACUAGAGCUUCAUGUAAUAAAUCAUUUCUGUAAUAAGUCACACUUCUGAAUUCGCAAAUUUUCCCUACGUGCCUCUCCUUUCUUUGGGAACAUAUUCAUUAUUCAGAACUCAGUUGUGUAAGGUCCGGUAUAAUUCUCUGCCCCACUUACAGGAUAGUUGGAGUAAAAAUAAUUUGGAUAUGAAAUUAGGGCACAGGUUACGUUUCUGCUCCGUAAUUGUAUUUUCAAAUUCAAGCUCUUAAAUUUGGGCAUCUAAGUCCGUAUAUAAGCAUAAAAACCCAGUUUGUUUGUCAGAAGUAUGAUCUGCUUUUCUGUCCCCUUCAGGAAACACAACACAUUUAGCAGGAAGAUUUCUAAGAAUAAAAUUUUAAGAUUUCCACGGACUUCAGCAUCUCUUCAAAUAACAGAUGACUAUUCUUACUACUAUUGCAAGGUUUAGGUAAUCUCAUAACAUCCAUGUCAAGUUACUGAUCAUUGCCAGAAUUCACAUCUUCAAUCGGGGCUACACAAAUUAAUAAUCAGCUGCUCGGCCCGCUGGAUCCUGGCGCCCCUCCCCCGCGACCCGGCUUGGCACCCGGGGUGUGAGCGGGUAGAUAAUCCGGGUUUUAAAGGCUGACUCCCUCUUUAUCACGACGUGACGCUGGCCUGCAAAGUUCAAGAUGUUUUCAAGCCUGGGAAGGCCAGGGAGCAGCUGAAGUCAGAACAAGCCUGCGAGGGAGGAGGCCGGGAAAGCACCGGCGCUGUGCAGCUGACAGCAGAGCUCCCUCCCUCCCGCUCCCACCGGCCAGCGCCACUUCUGGUGCCAACACUGAACCAUUUCAGCAUCCUCUGCCUUAAAUCCUCUUAAUGAAAGCAUGAAGAAUGACAAAAUACUUCCUUUCAUAAAGCAGAAGGCUGUGCCAAUUCACUUUCAACAUGCUCAUUCAGUGGAACUGAGGUAAAUAUGUUGCUCCACAGGUGCUUUUCCUUGCAAUAACACACUCCCUAGUAAUCCAUUAAAUUCAUCUCAUGCUCUGUUUAGUGCCUACUCUCUGAACUGCCUAGCUGGGUAAGGUCACUGUGAUAACAGGAGCAGGUUAAACAGCACGGGUAUGCUGAACUCUGACAUCCAUCCAUGAUACAGAUAAGAACGAUAGGCAGCAUUAGAUGUGUAAUAUCUACUCAGACCGACACAAUCUUCUCCCCUCUGCAGCUCCUUACAAGCAAAAAAACCCAGGAUUAGGCAAACAUCUUCAGACCUGAACCUCAGAACUCCUUACGUUAAUUUAGUGCCUGUAGAAGCAACGGAUCAGCCACCAAAAGCUCGUCUGUUUUCUUGCGUUUAUGGAACGAGCCGCGGUGACAGAGAAGGCGGGUGAGUGUCCCGUGGGUGCCUGUGCUCCUGCCCCCCAAACCUGCCGCUGCUCUCCCUGCGCGGGAGGAACUCGAAACCCAUCACGGUUCGGUUCGUAGCACCGCGCCUUCCGUUGCAGGGUUCAAAACAAGCUGCGUAUAACUCCUGGAUGAUAACCUCUUCCAUUAUGACGUUCCUGCUAAAGGCAGACAAAUAAUUGCCAGUUAGUAAGCUGGUAUUAAAUCCAGCCCAAACUCAGCCCCAGCAAUCCUUUCCAAAAGCCUGACAAGUUUUAUUUUAUUAUUUCCUUUGCAGGGUGUUGGGAAGCGUAAUCACUGGUAACUAAUCAAACUUCUUUCAAACACCCACAAAUAUAUAAGGAGAAUGAAAGGAUUAAUUAUUGGGCUAAGCCAUUUCAAAUGAGACCUCAUCUAAAUGAGCAGAUUUAUUUCCAGAGCAAGCUGGGUGUAAAUUUAGCUGGUUUUCAAAAGCCUGAAUCUAAAGCACGCCUGGCUUUGGGGAUGGAGCGGGUUAUUGGGCGCUAUAUAACCUCUGCAGACAUCCAGCAAAGCACAGCAAUAAAAAACAGGCUGCAAGUUCACAAAAUCAUUUUCUAAACCAAGUGUUAGCAUGGUUAAUAAAUGCUGCCAUCGGGUGCUGUUAAUUACAGGCAGGAAUAGUUUGGGGCAUUAAACUGAGAGAAUUUAGCCUGUUCAACGUUUUCAAAAUUUCAGUAUUUAAAGAAGCAUUUAUUUUUUCCCCACAUAACUGUUUAAUUCAAAGAAAAGAAUUAAAGAAAAAUGUUUAGUCAGAUGUCCAUCCCUGCUUUUAUUCUGCUCCUGUGGUUUCCAAUCAGAUCCUCACCUGCCUGGCUGCCCUUCCAUUUUCCAACACUUCCACCUUUUUAAAUUCAGGAUGGAGCUUUAAGCAGUGAAGAAAACUGAAACAUCUUUGGUUUCCUUCUUCCUGUCCCCCAAAAUCCCUGCAAUUUGCUGAAUUCUUGCCAGAGGAACUCUAACUCAGCACCUUUCUACUGCAGUCAUGAUAACCAACGUCUAGCGGUCUCUUUUCUUAGUGGUGUCACAGGCUCAUCUCUGUAUAUUUAGAUAAAAAGGAAUAUUGUAUGAAUCAAACCAUUUUAUCCACCCAAGCCUAAGCACACAGAACAGUACCUGCCUCCAGAGAUAUGCAGCAACGCCCACAUUGAAAACAUAAUUAGGAACGAGUUAGCACCAUUGCAUAUGCUGAUUAUUCUUGUUCUCAGGCACAAAAUUGUGAGAUUCGGUUUUACACAGAAUCACGUGCACGCUUCUUCACACGCUGAAUAAAUCCAACCGCAUAAGUGUCAUUUCGAGCAGGGCUUCUGUGGGAGAGAUGAAGCAGUCAAGGUUCGGGUGAAGAGGCCCCAGCGCACACGGCUGCACGCGUCCCUGCGCGGUACCGCAUCCAGCGCUCCUGCAGGGAACCUGGCAGCACCGCAACCCGCGCACAAAGCUGCUUUGAAACGCGAACAAACGCUAACACAAAGCAUCUCCCCGACUCGCCACAUCCAACCACAACCAACCGCAGCUGUCCCCGCGGAGGAAGCGCCUGGGAGGAGGCCGAGGUGUGCGGCCACCCGUCCAGCCCGCAACACCCGCCCCAAAGCUCCUCAAACAGCCCUUGCGCUGUGCACGCGUCUAACAGCCCGAUAUUUUACACUUGUCCCCAAGGCAACUGACAAAACAUGUUUCUAAGGUUAUUUAAUGAUUUUAAUGACAGCGGCUGAAAGACACAUUAAAAAAUAACAUUUAAGGCAAGCAUUUUUUGCCAAAUGACACGGUUCCCAAAUUUGUUGUACCAUGGUGCUCCAUUUCUGUAAAAACUCUCAUUGAGGCUGUAGGUCCCAACAGAAGAAUGAAGCCUUAAAAAGAUACAACGACUACUUAAUAUUGUGUGGGAUUAUAGGCAGUGGCCUGUGGCAAUUCCUUAUGUCUCUGGGUAGUGAUGCUUUUCCAGCAUCCCCUUUUUUUGUCAUCACACAACUCCAUUGUGAAAUAUUCUUGUCAUGAAGGAGGAAGAAAGAGCUGGUUACACCCCGUAGUGUUUUGGGGAAGACUAAGCAGCACAGUUUGCAGAGAGUAGGUGUGAAAUAUGACAUUUCAUUAUGUGUAAUUACUUUUUAACCAGUAAUGUCCACGUUGACAUGAGUUUCUUAUUUUUGGAAUGCGUGGGGAGUGGUCGGGGAAGGUAGUAAUGUUUUCUUCCCUCUUAAUAAACUCAAGUCAUUCUUAUGCUAAAGUAAUUUCUCAACAAAACAAAUUUCUCUCCAUCUCAGUAAUGGCACACCCAAAUGUGAUUACGUUACAAGAGAUAUUAAAUUCAAUUUCAAGGUAGGAGCAUUAUUAAUCCAAUGCAUUUGUCUUUAUUAUCAUUUGAUCUA